rnacentral:rRNA from 1 species
UGGGGAAUAUUGGGCAAUGGAGGAAACUCUGACCCAGCGACGCCGCGUGCGGGAUGAAGGCCUUCGGGUUGUAAACCGCUUUCAGUAGGGAAGAAGCGAAAGUGACGGUACCUACAAAAGAAGCACCGGCUAACUAUGUGCCAGCAGCCGCGGUAAUACAUAGGGUGCAAGCGUUGUCCGGAAUUAUUGGGCGUAAAGAGCUCGUAGGUCGUUUGUUACGUCGGAUGUGAAAACCUGAGGCUCAACCUCAGGCCUGCAUUCGAUACGGGCAAACUAGAGUUUGGUAGGGGAGACUGGAAUUCCUGGUGUAGCGGUGGAAUGCGCAGAUAUCAGGAGGAACACCAAUGGCGAAGGCAGGUCUCUGGGCCAAUACUGACACUGAGGAGCGAAAGUCUGGGGAGCGAACAGG